rnacentral:rRNA from 1 species
CAAUAGCGUAUAUUAAAGUUGUUGACGGUUAAAAGCUCGUAGUUGGAUUUCUGCUGAGGACGACCGGUCCGCCCUCUGGGUGAGUAUCUGGCUUGGCCUUGGCAUCGUUCUUGGAGAACGUAGCUGCACUUGACUGUGUGGUGCGGUAUCCAGGACUUUUACUUUGAGGAAAUUAGAGUGUUUCAAGCAGGCACACGCCUUGAAUACAUUAGCAUGGAAUAAUAAGAUAGGACCUUGGUUCUAUUUUGUUGGUUUCUAGAGCUGAGGUAAUGAUUAAUAGGGAUAGUUGGGGGCAUUCGGUAUUUAAACUGUCUAGAGGUGAAAUUCUUGGAUUUGUUAAAGACGGACUAACUGCGAAAGCAUUU